rnacentral:rRNA from 1 species
CNUUAUGCAGUCGAGCGGUAACAGAGAGUAGCUUGCUACUUUGCUGACGAGCGGCGGACGGGUGAGUAAUGCUUGGGAACAUGCCUUGAGGUGGGGGACAACAGUUGGAAACGACUGCUAAUACCGCAUAAUGUCUACGGACCAAAGGGGGCUUCGGCUCUCGCCUUUAGAUUGGCCCAAGUGGGAUUAGCUAGUUGGUGAGGUAAUGGCUCACCAAGGCGACGAUCCCUAGCUGGUUUGAGAGGAUGAUCAGCCACACUGGGACUGAGACACGGCCCAGACUCCUACGGGAGGCAGCAGUGGGGAAUAUUGCACAAUGGGCGCAAGCCUGAUGCAGCCAUGCCGCGUGUGUGAAGAAGGCCUUCGGGUUGUAAAGCACUUUCAGUCAGGAGGAAAGGUUAANNGUUAAUACCCGUUAGCUGUGACGUUACUGACAGAAGAAGCACCGGCUAACUCCGUGCCAGCAGCCGCGGUAAUACGGAGGGUGCGAGCGUUAAUCGGAAUUACUGGGCGUAAAGCGUACGCAGGCGGUUUGUUAAGCGAGAUGUGAAAGCCCCGGGCUCAACCUGGGAACUGCAUUUCGAACUGGCAAACUANAGUGUGAUANAGGGUGGUAAAAUUUC